GACAGAGGCCCCGAGCGUUAGGCGGAAUCACUGGGCUUAAAGCGUGUGUAGGCGGGCCCGUAAGUGUCUUGUGAAAUCCCACGGCUCAAACGUGGAACUGCUGGGCAUACUGCGGGUCUUGGGCCAACUAGGGGCAGCCGGAACAAGCGGUGGAGCGGUGAAAUGCGUAGAUAUCGCUUGGAACGCCGAAGGUGAAAACAGGCUGCUGGGGUUGCGCCGACGCUGAGACACGAAAGCUAGGGGAGCGAACGGG
rnacentral:rRNA from 1 species